rnacentral:piRNA from 1 species
CUGGUUUGGAAGUAGGAGGAAAGG